rnacentral:rRNA from 1 species
UGGCGUGCCUAAUACAUGCAAGUAGAACGCUGAAGAGAGGAGCUUGCUCUUCUUGGAUGAGUUGCGAACGGGUGAGUAACGCGUAGGUAACCUGCCUUGUAGCGGGGGAUAACUAUUGGAAACGAUAGCUAAUACCGCAUAACAAUGGAUGACACAUGUCAUUUAUUUGAAAGGGGCAAAUGCUCCACUACAAGAUGGACCUGCGUUGUAUUAGCUAGUAGGUGAGGUAACGGCUCACCUAGGCGACGAUACAUAGCCGACCUGAGAGGGUGAUCGGCCACACUGGGACUGAGACACGGCCCAGACUCCUACGGGAGGCAGCAGUAGGGAAUCUUCGGCAAUGGGGGCAACCCUGACCGAGCAACGCCGCGUGAGUGAAGAAGGUUUUCGGAUCGUAAAGCUCUGUUGUAAGUCAAGAACGAGUGUGAGAGUGGAAAGUUCACACUGUGACGGUAGCUUACCAGAAAGGGACGGCUAACUACGUGCCAGCAGCCGCGGUAAUACGUAGGUCCCGAGCGUUGUCCGGAUUUAUUGGGCGUAAAGCGAGCGCAGGCGGUUUGAUAAGUCUGAAGUUAAAGGCUGUGGCUCAACCAUAGUUCGCUUUGGAAACUGUCAAACUUGAGUGCAGAAGGGGAGAGUGGAAUUCCAUGUGUAGCGGUGAAAUGCGUAGAUAUAUGGAGGAACACCGGUGGCGAAAGCGGCUCUCUGGUCUGUAACUGACGCUGAGGCUCGAAAGCGUGGGGAGCGAACAGGAUUAGAUACCCUGGUAGUCCACGCCGUAAACGAUGAGUGCUAGGUGUUGGAUCCUUUCCGGGAUUCAGCGCCGCAGCUAACGCAUUAAGCACUCCGCCUGGGGAGUACGACCGCAAGGUUGAAACUCAAAGGAAUUGACGGGGGCCCGCACAAGCGGUGGAGCAUGUGGUUUAAUUCGAAGCAACGCGAAGAACCUUACCAGGUCUUGACAUCCCGAUGCUAUUUCUAGAGAUAGAAAGUUACUUCGGUACAUCGGUGACAGGUGGUGCGUGGUUGUCGUCAGCUCGUGUCGUGAGAUGUUGGGUUAAGUCCCGCAACGAGCGCAACCCCUAUUGUUAGUUGCCAUCAUUCAGUUGGGCACUCUAGCGAGACUGCCGGUAAUAAACCGGAGGAAGGUGGGGAUGACGUCAAAUCAUCAUGCCCCUUAUGACCUGGGCUACACACGUGCUACAAUGGUUGGUACAACGAGUUGCGAGUCGGUGACGGCAAGCUAAUCUCUUAAAGCCAAUCUCAGUUCGGAUUGUAGGCUGCAACUCGCCUACAUGAAGUCGGAAUCGCUAGUAAUCGCGGAUCAGCACGCCGCGGUGAAUACGUUCCCGGGCCUUGUACACACCGCCCGUCACACCACGAGAGUUUGUAACACCCGAAGUCGGUGAGGCAACCUUUUGGAGCCAGCCGCCUAAGGUGGGAUAGAUGAUUGGGGUG